GACGAACCGUGCGAACGUUGUUCGGAUUCACUGGGCUUAAAGGGCGCGUAGGCGGGGGGUCAAGUCCGAGGUGAAAUCUUUCGGCUCAACCGGAAAAGUGCCUUGGAUGCGGACUCUCUCGAGGGAGGUAGGGGCAUGUGGAACUUCCGGUGGAGCGGUGAAAUGCGUAGAUAUCGGAAGGAACGCCGGUGGCGAAAGCGACGUGCUGGACCUCUUCUGACGCUGAGGCGCGAAAGCCAGGGGAGCAAACGGG
rnacentral:rRNA from 1 species